ensembl:snoRNA small nucleolar RNA SNORD113/SNORD114 family
UUGACCAAUGAUGAGUAUCCUGGGGUGUCUGAAUCUAUGAUUUUGAUUAAACCCAUUAACUCUGAGGUCUAU